AUACUACUAGUUUAAUUAGAACACUAUCUUUUGAUGAUAGAAGAAAGAAAAUUUUUCUUGUAGUAUU
rnacentral:tRNA from 1 species